GUCACUGGUUCCUGCUGAUUGUAGCUAAGAAGGAAUUUCAAAUUAAAGCGAUAGGGCUUGUGAUGUGAUAGAAAAUACCAUAUCUGAUGAGUGCGGUCAGCUAUUAAUGUAAAAAAAUUAAAAAUACCUUAGCCACGGAAGGCCACGGUUCAUUAAAACCGCUUACUCAUCUGAAGUCGGGGGUGAAGUGAGCCAAUGCCGUUAUCAGUCUUUUGCUGCAGGGCUGUUCGAUCGCAAGGUGUGCAGUGAG